rnacentral:rRNA from 1 species
CGCCACGGUAAUACCAGCUCCUCGAGUGGUUUGGGGCGUUUAUUGGGCCUAAAGCAUCCGUAGCCGGCUCCAUAAGUCCCUCCGUUAAAUUCAACGGCUCAACCGUUGAGCUGCGGGGGAUACUAUGGGGCUAGGGAGCGGGAGAGGCGGACGGUACUCCGUGGGUAGGGUAAAAUCCGCUGAUCCACGGAAGACCACCAGUGGCGAAGGC